AGGGUUUGAUCUUGGUUCAGGAUGAACGCUAGCUACAGGCUUAACACAUGCAAGUCGAGGGGCAGCAUUUUAGUUUGCUUGCAAACUAAAGAUGGCGACCGGCGCACGGGUGAGUAACACGUAUCCAACCUGCCGAUAACUCGGGGAUAGCCUUUCGAAAGAAAGAUUAAUAUCCGAUAGUAUAUUAAAACCGCAUGGUUUUACUAUUAAAGAAUUUCGGUUAUCGAUGGGGAUGCGUUCCAUUAGUUUGUUGGCGGGGUAACGGCCCACCAAGACUACGAUGGAUAGGGGUUCUGAGAGGAAGGUCCCCCACAUUGGAACUGAGACACGGUCCAAACUCCUACGGGAGGCAGCAGUGAGGAAUAUUGGUCAAUGGACGAGAGUCUGAACCAGCCAAGUAGCGUGAAGGAUGACUGCCCUAUGGGUUGUAAACUUCUUUUAUAUGGGAAUAAAGUAUUCCACGUGUGGAAUUUUGUAUGUACCAUAUGAAUAAGGAUCGGCUAACUCCGUGCCAGCAGCCGCGGUAAUACGGAGGAUCCGAGCGUUAUCCGGAUUUAUUGGGUUUAAAGGGAGCGUAGGUGGAUUGUUAAGUCAGUUGUGAAAGUUUGCGGCUCAACCGUAAAAUUGCAGUUGAAACUGGCAGUCUUGAGUACAGUAGAGGUGGGCGGAAUUCGUGGUGUAGCGGUGAAAUGCUUAGAUAUCACGAAGAACUCCGAUUGCGAAGGCAGCUCACUAGACUGCAACUGACACUGAUGCUCGAAAGUGUGGGUAUCAAACAGGAUUAGAUACCCUGGUAGUCCACACAGUAAACGAUGAAUACUCGCUGUUUGCGAUAUACAGUAAGCGGCCAAGCGAAAGCAUUAAGUAUUCCACCUGGGGAGUACGCCGGCAACGGUGAAACUCAAAGGAAUUGACGGGGGCCCGCACAAGCGGAGGAACAUGUGGUUUAAUUCGAUGAUACGCGAGGAACCUUACCCGGGCUUAAAUUGCAUUUGAAUAAUCUGGAAACAGGUUAGCCGCAAGGCAAAUGUGAAGGUGCUGCAUGGUUGUCGUCAGCUCGUGCCGUGAGGUGUCGGCUUAAGUGCCAUAACGAGCGCAACCCUUAUCUUUAGUUACUAACAGGUUAUGCUGAGGACUCUAGAGAGACUGCCGUCGUAAGAUGUGAGGAAGGUGGGGAUGACGUCAAAUCAGCACGGCCCUUACGUCCGGGGCUACACACGUGUUACAAUGGGGGGUACAGAAGGCAGCUACCUGGCGACAGGAUGCUAAUCCCAAAAACCUCUCUCAGUUCGGAUCGAAGUCUGCAACCCGACUUCGUGAAGCUGGAUUCGCUAGUAAUCGCGCAUCAGCCAUGGCGCGGUGAAUACGUUCCCGGGCCUUGUACACACCGCCCGUCAAGCCAUGAAAGCCGGGGGUACCUGAAGUACGUAACCGCAAGGAGCGUCCUAGGGUAAAACUGGUAAUUGGGGC
rnacentral:rRNA from 1 species